CCGUGUUUUGGGCUCCCGUUUUAAUUCUCACUCCACAAACCGAGCACAGCGGGGCCGAGGYGCCCCUCACACCACGCAAUGCCUCGCCGCGGCCGCGUUAACUCGCGGGUCCCCCAAGACGGGUCUGCGGACGGGACGCCGCAGCGGUGCUCCACGCGCAAGCCCACCGCGGGGCAGAAACCGCGUCCGCUGUCGCCCGCGGCCCGGCUCGGGCUGCCGCGGAGGGAAGCGCACCGGGCGCCGCUGCCRUCAUCCGGCCUUCCUCCGACGCCGACUUCCACGCCACGGCUCCAGCGGUUUCCUCUUUUCCGGGCUUCGUAAGGGGGUGCAGGCGUUCUCCUCGCGCUCUCCUUGGGCAAGACCUGCCAGGCGGUGCGAAGCGCGGCGGGAGGGAGGCAGGGAGGGAGGCUCGCCCCAGCUGCGGUGCCACGGCAGGCAGCGGCUGCCGGGGGGGCCAGGGGGGUGGAGGCAGCGCGGGGCGGGCAGGACUUACCCUCUGCUCGAGGGCAGAGCGGCUCCGGCGGGCCUUCCCGGGGGGCGCGGGCAGGGCCGGGGGGGCUACACGAAGAGCAGGGAGCGCCGGGGGCAGGCGCAGCGCUCCCGCAGAGCCUCCCGCACCCAGGAGCCCUGGCAGCCCGCCACCGCGGCGGCCGUCCAGAACGUCCUGCAAGGGGAACGCGGCUGCAGCGGGACCCGCCGAACCCACCCCGGGAGCGGGGGGUCCCCCAGCCCCCCAGCCUACCUGGCUCCGGGCAGCCCGUCGCCGCCGCAGCGGGGGCUGCUCCCCGCGGCCCCCCGGCACUCCACGCACACCCGCUGCUCCCGCCGCAGCCGGCUGCUCCAGGCGCCCCGGCGGCAGGCGGCUCCCACCUGCUUCAGGCGGAAAAACCCGCAGUAGCUGCGGGGCAGAGGCCGGCGGUGAGCGGCGAGGUCUGGGGGCGGCGGGGCCCCGUUGCGACGCGCGUCCCCCCCCCGUCCACCUACCUCGGCGGUGCAUCCGCCCGCGGCGCAGCAGCAUCCCCCGGGCGCCGUUUGAAGGAGUCGGGGAGUAUCAUGGCCACCUCUGCCGGCAAACGCGCGGCGGGGUGAGGGGGGGCCGGUGGCGCCCGGGGGGGCGCGGGGAGCCCCCCGUUACCUUUGGCCGUGCGGCAGAGCGCGUCGUCCCCCAGGCAGCCGCGGCGCUGUCGGAGGUCGGGGCAGGGCCGCCCGCCGGGCCGCGGUGGGACGGCGACGUGCCGGGUGCGGGCCGUGCUGCCCGCGCCGCACCGGGAGCUGCAGCCGCCCCAGGGCCCCCAGGGCCCCACCACGCAGUCCAGCGCUGCCGCCGCCGCGGCCGGGA
rnacentral:lncRNA from 1 species